UACGUAGGGCGCAAGCGUUGUCCGGAAUUAUUGGGCGUAAAGAGCUCGUAGGCGGUUUGUCGCGUCUGCUGUGAAAACCUAAGGCUCAACCUUGGGCUUGCAGUGGGUACGGGCAGACUAGAGGUGCGGUAGGGGUGACUGGAAUUCCUGGUGUAGCGGUGGAAUGCGCAGAUAUCAGGAGGAACACCGAUGGCGAAGGCAGGUCACUGG
rnacentral:rRNA from 1 species